GAGCUGAACUGCUAUCCUGCUUGAUUGUUGAUGUCCAGAGAGCAAGAGAAUGAUGAGGAUGGCCAAAAGAUUGCCUUUGGGCCAUGAAAGAGCUGGUCUCUGUCCCUGUAGCGAGCACAUAAAAGGAAUGGAACACCCUGGACAAAUCACUAGUCUAUCAUAGUACUGUGAUCUGCCAUUUGUGAGUGAUCCAACUCAUUAGAGAGAAUAAGCUUCAAAGGCUGCAUUGGUAAGGAUGCACACAUGAAUGUCUGGAUCUCGCCAGUCGUGCAAAGGACUACAUCUUCAAAGAAACCUUGGAUCUCAGGCAAUCGGACCUGAAACUCUCCUCCAGCUCUGUAAUGGGUACUGCAGACUGUGGGCCUCACUAAUGCAGCCCCUGAGCCCCGGCCCCGCUUAGCAAGAGUCAUCCCUGAAAGACAACGAAAGGGUAGAUAGCAGAGGGUUAGACCAAAGCAAUCUGCCACCUACAUAUCAUGUCAUCAUGGAAAGAAGACAAGGACACGUGUGUCUGAGCCGGACCACAUGACACCUGAUGGUUGUGUGCACAUUUCUUUCAGUUUAAGUGUGUGUGUGUGUGUAGUUUAAGUGUCCCUUUGC